UAGGUGGUCUGACCAGACAACUCAGCUCCAUAAUGUGUCAGUCAACAAACUGUUAAGGACCAUUUGAGGAAGAAAUAUGAAUUCCAGUUGUUGUCUGAAAAACUCUCAUUGACACUUCUGGAAGCCAGCCGCUAUGCUGUGAUGAUGCUCAAGCACGCCUGUGGAGAGAUCCAUACAAAGAGGAACUGAGGCCUCCUGCCAGCAGUCAGCACCAGUUUGCCAGUCCUAUGGAUGAACAACCUUGAGAGCAGAUCCUCCAGUUCUCGUCAAGCUUCAGAUGACUGCAGCCCUGGCUAACAUCAACCACAUGAGAGAUCCCAAAGCAGAACCAAGUUUUUGACCCACAGGAAGAGUGAGAGAAGCUGAGAGACCCAAGUCAAGGUAAAGAGAAGAAGGAACCUCUGUGAAUGAAGCCUAAAGAACCAAUAUGGCAGCUCAAUAUGCCACAAGCUACAGGGAAAGCCUUGAG
rnacentral:lncRNA from 1 species